CAGUAGCCGCGGUAAUACAGAGGUCUCAAGCGUUGUUCGGAUUCAUUGGGCGUAAAGGGUGCGUAGGUGGCUUGGUAAGUUGAAGGUGAAAUCUCGGGGCUUAACUCCGAAACUGCCUUCAAUACUGCUGAGCUUGAGGAUUGUAGAGGAGAAUGGAAUUCACGGUGUAGCAGUGAAAUGCGUAGAUAUCGUGAGGAAGACCAGUGGCGAAGGCGAUUCUCCGGGCAAUUCCUGACACUGAGGCACGAAGGCCAGGGGAGCAAACGGGAUUAGAUACCCCCGUAGUCCCUGUCUCUUAUAC
rnacentral:rRNA from 1 species